GUAGAUGCGGUUGAGUCCUUGUCCUGGAAGUCGGUCAGCUGAAAAACAAUGUAAAUUCCCGGUUUUGAAGACUUAUUGCUUUCAAAUCUGCUGGCUUUUAAACGGAGGGGCCGGAAUAUCACAGAAGCCUUGGGUAACAGCAAAGUCAAAAGAAUGGUACUUUUAAAAAUGGUGCCUUUGCUGUAAGGAGCAGAGCAUAUUCAAAACUCAUGGGAGCAUCUCAGGUCUCAGGCCAAAUCAUUCAGCUUGUCUUCACACAGCCUGAGUACAGUUAUUUAUAUAAAAACUGUUUCUCUUGUGCCAUCACUUUUUCACUGUGUGUCAUCAGUUUUUGGAAUUUGGCAUUAUUCCUAUAGAGUUUUAUUCUCCUUUCUUAUACAUGUCAUCCAUAUAUUUAUCCAUUCUUUUUUUAUUUUACUUUGAUCAAAGUAUGAGUGUUUUGUCUGAUUCUGCCUUUGCAAAUUUAAAAACUGCUCUAAAAAUUAUUCAUGUGCAUUCCAAAAAUUCGAACAGAAGAAUAAAAUUUUAAAUUCACCUAAAAACCUACUACCAAGAUAUAGCUCCCGU
rnacentral:antisense_RNA from 1 species